AUGUCGUUCGCUUACAAGUUCAGGUACAUCGUCGUCGGCGACACAGGAGUUGGGAAGUCAUGCCUCCUGCUGCAGUUCACCGACAAGCGGUUCCAGCCCGUGCACGACCUGACCAUCGGCGUCGAAUUUGGACAGCGGAUGGUCACCAUCGACAAGAAGAAAAUAAAGCUUCAGAUCUGGGACACGGCAGGCCAGGAGGCUUUCAGGUCAAUCACUAAAUCCUACUACAGAAGUGCGGCCGCUGCUCUUCUUGUUUAUGACAUCACCAGGAGGGAGACCUUCAACCAUGUUGCGAGCUGGCUGGAAGAAAUGAGGGAGCAGGCGGACGGCAACAACAACAUCACCAUCAUGCUGGUCGGAAACAAGUCAGAUUUAGGUCAGAGGCGAGCCGUCAGCACGGAAGAGGGCGAGCAGUUCGCCAAGGAGAACGGCCUCGCCUUCAUGGAGACCUCGGCCAGAACCCGGCACAACGUGGAGGAGGCAUUCCUUCAAAGCUCGUCCAAUGUGUACGAGAAGAUCCAGGAAGGCGCCAUCGAUCUCUCCAAGGUGGGUGUGUCUGCAUAG
rnacentral:rRNA from 1 species